rnacentral:tRNA from 2 species
GCCUCGGUAGCUCAGUUGGUUAGAGCGAUCGCCUCGUAAGCGAUAGGUCGCGGGUUCGAAUCCCGCCCGGGGCUCCA